GAUGAACGCUGGCGGCGUGCCUAAUACAUGCAAGUCGAGCGAACGGACGAGAAGCUUGCUUCUCUGAUGUUAGCGGCGGACGGGUGAGUAACACGUGGAUAACCUACCUAUAAGACUGGGAUAACUUCGGGAAACCGGAGCUAAUACCGGAUAAUAUUUUGAAACGCAUGGUUCAAAAGUGAAAGACGGUCUUGCUGUCACUUAUAGAUGGAUCCGCGCUGCAUUAGCUAGUUGGUAAGGUAACGGCUUACCAAGGCAACGAUGCAUAGCCGACCUGAGAGGGUGAUCAGCCACACUGGAACUGAGACACGGUCCAGACUCCUACGGGAGGCAGCAGUAGGGAAUCUUCCGCAAUGGGCGAAAGCCUGACGGAGCAACGCCGCGUGAGUGAUGAAGGUCUUCGGAUCGUAAAACUCUGUUAUUAGGGAAGAACAUAUGUGUAAGUAACUGUGCACAUCUUGACGGUACCUAAUCAGAAAGCCACGGCUAACUACGUG
rnacentral:rRNA from 1 species